rnacentral:lncRNA from 1 species
UCUAUCGCAGGUGCAGGGUCAACAAUUCCAGCCAGUCCCUUUCCCGAGUCCUUCAUGGCAGACUCAGGUUCAUCCUUUGCGUCUGAUCCCUCCUUUAGAAGCUUCUCGUCAGUGAGAAUGGACUUAAGCCCAAGCACUCCAAAGUGAGCAAGCAUCCUCACCUUCCACAGGGCGAAAUCACCAUCACCCUCGAACCGGUCAAUAUCCACACGUUCCUUC